AGCCGUUGAAGGUGAAUCGUAAGGUUUGCUGGAGGUAUCAGAAGUGCGAAUGCUGACAUGAGUAACGACAAAGGGGGUGAAAAACCUCCUCGCCGGAAGACCAAGGGUUCCUGUCCAACGUUAAUCGGGGCAGGGUGAGUCGACCCCUAAGGUGAGGCCGAAAGGCGUAAUCGAUGGGAAACGGGUUAAUAUUCCCGUACUUCUGACUAUUGCGAUGGGGGGACGGAGAAGGCUAGGUGGGCCAGGCGACGGUUGUCCUGGUUCAAGUGCGUAGGCUUGAGAGUUAGGUAAAUCCGGCUCUCUCUAAGGCUGAGACACGACGUCGAGCUACUACGGUAGUGAAGUCAUUGAUGCCAUGCUUCCAGGAAAAGCCUCUAAGCUUCAGAUAGUCAGGAAUCGUACCCCAAACCGACACAGGUGGUCGGGUAGAGAAUACCAAGGCGCUUGAGAGAACUCGGGUGAAGGAACUAGGCAAAAUGGUACCGUAACUUCGGGAGAAGGUACGCUCUUGAUGGUGAAGUCCCUCGCGGAUGGAGCUGACGAGAGUCGCAGAUACCAGGUGGCUGCAACUGUUUAUUAAAAACACAGCACUGUGCAAAAUCGCAAGAUGACGUAUACGGUGUGACGCCUGCCCGGUGCCGGAAGGUUAAUUGAUGGGGUUAGCGCAAGCGAAGCUCUUGAUCGAAGCCCCGGUAAACGGCGGCCGUAACUAUAACGGUCCUAAGGUAGCGAAAUUCCUUGUCGGGUAAGUUCCGACCUGCACGAAUGGCGUAAUGAUGGCCACGCUGUCUCCACCCGAGACUCAGUGAAAUUGAAAUCGCUGUGAAGAUGCAGUGUACCCGCGGCUAGACGGAAAGACCCCGUGAACCUUUACUACAGCUUGGCACUGAACAUUGAACCUACAUGUGUAGGAUAGGUGGGAGGCUAUGAAGACGUGACGCCAGUUGCGUUGGAGCCGUCCUUGAAAUACCACCCUUGUAUGUUUGAUGUUCUAACUUAGACCCAUUAUCUGGGUUGAGGACAGUGCCUGGUGGGUAGUUUGACUGGGGCGGUCUCCUCCCAAAGAGUAACGGAGGAGCACGAAGGUGGGCUAAUCACGGUUGGACAUCGUGAGGUUAGUGCAAUGGCAUAAGCCCGCUUAACUGCGAGAAUGACGGUUCGAGCAGGUGCGAAAGCAGGUCAUAGUGAUCCGGUGGUUCUGUAUGGAAGGGCCAUCGCUCAACGGAUAAAAGGUACUCCGGGGAUAACAGGCUGAUACCGCCCAAGAGUUCAUAUCGACGGCGGUGUUUGGCACCUCGAUGUCGGCUCAUCACAUCCUGGGGCUGAAGUCGGUCCCAAGGGUAUGGCUGUUCGCCAUUUAAAGUGGUACGCGAGCUGGGUUUAGAACGUCGUGAGACAGUUCGGUCCCUAUCUGCCGUGGGCGUUGGAAGAUUGAAGGGGGCUGCUCCUAGUACGAGAGGACCGGAGUGGACGAACCUCUGGUGUUCGGGUUGUGUCGCCAGACGCAUUGCCCGGUAGCUAAGUUCGGAAUUGAUAAGCGCUGAAAGCAUCUAAGCGCGAAGCGAGCCCUGAGAUGAGUCUUCCCUGACAGUUUAACUGUCCUAAAGGGUUGUUCGAGACUAGAACGUUGAUAGGCAGGGUGUGUAAGCGUUGUGAGGCGUUGAGCUAACCUGUACUAAUUGCCCGUGAGGCUUAACCAUACAACACCCAAGGGGUUUUGUA
rnacentral:rRNA from 1 species